rnacentral:rRNA from 1 species
UACGUAGGGCGCAAGCGUUGUCCGGAAUUAUUGGGCGUAAAGAGCUCGUAGGCGGUUUGUCGCGUCUGCUGUGAAAACCUAAGGCUCAACCUUGGGCUUGCAGUGGGUACGGGCAGACUAGAGUGCGGUAGGGGUGACUGGAAUUCCUGGUGUAGCGGUGGAAUGCGCAGAUAUCAGGAGGAACACCGAUGGCGAAGGCAGGUCACUGGGCCGCAACUGACGCUGAGGAGGGAAAGCAUGGGGAGCGAACAGG